GACGACGCUGGCGGCGUGGAUUAGGCAUGCAAGUCGAACGGUAUCAUCCUUUCGGGGAUGAGAGAGUGGCGAACGGGUGAGUAACACGUAGGUGAUCUACCCUCAAGACGGGGACAACCCAGGGAAACUUGGGCUAAUACCGGAUGUGAGCUAUCGCGAGAUAGUUUGAAAGGUGGCUUCGGCUGCCGCUUGGGGAUGAGCCUGCGUCCUAUUAGCUAGUUGGUGAGGUAACGGCUCACCGAGGCAGUGAUAGGUAGGCGGCCUUAACGGGUGGUCGCCCACACUGGGAUUGAGAUACGGCCCAGACUCCUACGGGAGGCAGCAGUCGAGAAUAGUCUACAAUGGUCGAAAGACUGAUAGUGCGACGCCGCGUGAACGAAGAAGCCCUUCGGGGUGUAAAGUUCUUUUAUAUGUGAGCAGUGCUUCUUAUAUUAACAGUAUGGGGAGAGAGAUAUUAGCAUAUGAAUAAGCAACGGCUAACUCCGUG
rnacentral:rRNA from 1 species